CAAGCCGACGUGGUGAAACGUACGUACAGUCCGAGUCUACCGAUCGCAGCCACACGGUCACGGCACCUCACAGCGGGAGGAAGCCGUCAGUGCGGUCUGAAUCCAAGGAUCGUAGCUGCACGCUGCCGCACAGUCACGGCACCUCACAGCGGGAGGAAGCCGUCCAAAUGCAAUAGGGAAGGAAUCACCACCCCUGACCGUAUCCACGGCAAUUACAGCCGAUUAUCUGCAAACUGGUGGAAUGGUGAGACAGUGUCUGAUAAGCGGGACUGUUUGGCCAAUAUUGGGAUGACUGAAAUGGAAGCAGCUCCCCCCGGCGCAAUGGGACCCAAGGCUUAAACUGGUUGCCCAGCAACCAUGACGUCACGAGGGCAGGGAUCAGCUGACGCACCCGGAAGCCGGCGGUCCGGAACGCCGCACAUCACAUACUUUCUACUUAUACAGGAUCCAAUCUUGGGAGAUGCUGUGGGAAAUAAACCAAGAAUCACCUUUAAAAAGAAUAUCAAUAUAAAAAAUAUUUUGGCACCUAGCGAACUAAGAAUACAGAAAGAAACGUUCCUGUUCAUCAUCAGUUCACAGGCUAAUAUCCACAAGUUCCAGUUCAUCAUCGGUUCCCAGGCCGAUAUCCACAGUUGCAAUUCAUCAUCGGUUCCCAGGCCGAUAUCCACAGUUCCUGUUCAUCAUCGGUUCCCAGGCUAAUAUCCACAAGUUCCAGUCCGCAACCGGUUUCCAGGCCGAUAUCUGCAGUUCAAGUUUCCUUCGGGUUCCACGUAGAUUAAUUCUAAAUCCAGUGACUUUCAGCUAUAUCUGAGACUAUAUUGGUUCCCACACCGAUCAUCCAGUACUUAUUAUAUCUGU